GCGGAUGGCUGGAUGACCGCGUGGGGGCAACCCUGCGAGGAAAGUCCGGACUCCAUGAAGUAAGGGUGCCGGGUAACGCCCGGCGGGGGUAACCCCAGGGAAAGCGCCACAGAGAAGAGACCGCCAUGGCGCAAGCCAUGGUAAGGGUGAAACGGUGGAGUAAGAGCCCACCGCGGACCUGGUAACAGGGACGGCACGGCAAGCCCCACCCGGAGCAAUGCCGAAUAGGGGCCUCGCGUGGAAAGGUCCGACGUUCAGCCGUGAGGCUGUCGGAGACCUCCACAUGGGACACUUCAGCCCAAGAGUGCCCGGGUUGGCAGCUAGAUCCUGUCGGUAACGGCAGGGGCAGAGGAAUGGUCAUCCAGAGGGGGCAACUCCUUGGACAAAAUCCGGCUUACAGGCCGUCCGCGCAA
rnacentral:RNase_P_RNA from 1 species